rnacentral:lncRNA from 1 species
GUUUGUGUUUCGUUAAGUUGAACUAAUGGAAUAAUUAGCGUAAAUGUUGCUGAACAAAUUUCCGCUGUUUUGGGGCGACUAUUGGUCGGCAGAGUCCACGGAAUUCUAGACAUUUACUAGAGGAGAUGCGUCCUCCAGGCCACACUGUCGGAGGUGUGGUUGCUCAGUGAGCAAUUAGCCAAGACAAGAAUCAACAAGUGGAGGCUGUUCAAGCCGUCAUGAAUAUGCAUGAACAGCUGAUUUAUAAGUGAACUCUACGCCCCAUCAUAGCUUGAAUAGCCAUCAACUAUAACUAUGCACAUGUAUGUAUGUACAAUAUAAACUUAGCACGUAAAAAAUAAUAUAAAUUUGCAUAGAAAUUGCAAUGAACCUUAGCUCGAAAGUGGAAGAACAGCAAAGCAACAGGUUAAUGGCAGGCGGCAGCACUGGCCAACAAACGAGUUGGCGAGAAGGCCAUCCACACACAUGUCCAAUAUUUACGCAAUUACAUUACCAACAGAGCAAAAAACGAUCGAUAGUAACGAAGAUUAAAGUAUUGGAAUUAUUUUAUUUUG